rnacentral:rRNA from 1 species
UACGGGGGGGGCAAGCGUUGUUCGGAAUUACUGGGCGUAAAGGGCGCGUAGGCGCCUUCUAAGUCAGACGUGAAAUCCCUCGGCUCAACCGAGGAACUGCGUUCUGAUACUGGAAGGCUUGAAUCCGGGAGAGGGAUGUGGAAUUCCUGGGUGUAGCGGUGGAAUGCGCAGAUAUCAGGAGGAACACCGGUGGCGAAGGCGGGACCUGGGCCAGUCUGACGCUGAGGAGCGAAAGCGUGGGGGAGCAAACAGGG